CGCACCUUGCGCCCUUUGGUAUUCCGAAGGGCAUGCCUGUUCGAGUGUCAUUAAAUUCUCAACCUUCAAAGGCUUUGUUGACUUUGAACGUGUUGGACUUUGAGGGCUUUGCUGGCUUCCUUCAGUGGAUGGUCUGCUCCCUUUAAAAGCAUUAGUGGAAUCCUUUGUGGAUUUGUGAUACCACCUUGGUUGUGAUAAUUAUCUACGGUCAAGCUCUGGUAUCGCGAUUGAAGCAAAACCUAUGGGACUCUGCUCAUAACCGUUCAACUUGCUUGAACAACUUUUUAUUGACUUGACCUCGAAUCAGGUAGGACUACCCGCUGAACUUAA
rnacentral:misc_RNA from 1 species